AGAAAGCGGAAAAGGAUACAUCAAAACUAGCAAUGGAUGAAUGAGAACAUGUCCAGCCUCCAGUUAAGGCAACUGUGGCUUCAAAAAGGAAUCUUAAAUACCAGCACAGAAAUCAGAGGGAUCCUAACCUGGCUCAAAACAGAAGAGAAACAGUGGCUGGCCAUACAGCAGGACGGGCAUAACUAACAGAAUACCAGCUUUCCAGCCAUUGUUUCAUCCCUCAGCGAUACCACCUGCUUCCGCGUGGAACCCAAACCCCCAGGAAACUAAAUCUGCUCAGGUCACCCACCUAGGAAUAAAUAAAAACAGGUUUCAGGCCCUUUGUCCUUUGUAAAUUCCGCCUUUUUUUUUUUUUUAAGGCCUGUGUUCUUUAUCACGGACACUGUUCACAUAGUGGUAAUCCUUGCCUGACUCAGAUCUACUUGUUCCUGCGUUUCAUUCCUCCGCUGCUCAAUUACUUGUUCAAAACGCAAAGGACAACUGGUAGUGAAGACCCU
rnacentral:lncRNA from 1 species